AUCCAACUGACGAGUCCCAAACAGGACGAAACACGCGUCCUGGAU
rfam:Schistosoma rodhaini strain Burundi genome assembly, scaffold: SROB_scaffold0000345